AGAUGUGAAAGUGAACAGAAGGAAAAGAAAACUGCUUCUACAAGUGUAAUGGCAUUCAGUUCCUGUCUGUACGUUACCUCCCCCUGAAAGACGUAGGUUUUCUCCUAAACAGCAUGCUGGUGCAGAGCAUAAAUCAGCAGAAACGGGAAGACGUCCGCAUCUCCGUCACUUUCUCCGUUCCUUCUGCAGCAUGAAGUGUGACCUCGAGAAGAAACUCUUACUUUUUUCAUUCGUGCUGUACUUGAUUCUUAACGUGGAGUCGGCGCAUGAAGUCAAUGGUACAUCGGAAGGAAACAUCACUGUCAAAUUUACUUUACAAGACCCUGUUGUCAACAAAAUCACUGAUAAACCUAGUCUGUACAAAGAUGGGGAAAAGAUAGGAAGUUGCAGACAAGACAGCCCUUGUAAAGAAAAGUUUGCAUUCAUUGAAAUGGAAAACAGGACUGUCACACUACACAUCACAAAUCUCACACUGGAAGAUGAAGGAACAUAUUAUGUUGUAGUGUAUUCUGAUGGUGCUAACCCUCUUAUUGAGAGCAAUAGAAUUGAUAUUAAAGUCAUAUUAGGCAAUACAACAACAGAAACUACACCCACAGCUGUGCAUGAAAAUGUAGGGACUAAUUCACCUAAACUGGAGCUAUUGGAACAAAAUCCAUUCUUCAUUUUCUUCAGCGCAUCAGUCUUAAUAUUUAUAUGUCUUCUUGUGGGCAUAUUGUGGUGGCUUUUUAGGACCUAUCCAAGAAAACCAGAUGCAGAAAACCCACCAGUUCACAGCAACAGAUCAACGCAACCGCAGGGGCAGUGUGGGACAUCCGGUGCUGUGUUUGUCAGCUGUGUGGAGUAUGGAGAGUUAGACUUUCAAAAUAGAUCUGAAAGAGAUGACAGAGUAAAACCUGCCGAGGCGACAUCAAAGGCCCAGGACGGAGUGGAAUAUGCUGCCAUCAUUUUCCCUCAGCAAAAACAGCCACCGCGCGGGCGGAUGAAAAAUAAACAGCAAGUACCUGCUAUUAAGUGA
ensembl:lncRNA